rnacentral:lncRNA from 10 species
GCGGGGCCAGGGCCGCGGGGCGGAGCCGGGACAGGGUCCACGGCAGCCGCCAUCUUGGCUGAGGGCAAAGACGCUCCUGGCGCUCCCGUCUUUCGGCUUGCCUCAGUUGCCACUGCCAUCUUGGAUCAGGGUAAUUCCCGCCUCUUGGGCGCUCCCGGUUACAACCUCGGCGCCAUCUUGGAUUAGUUCAAUGUAGCCACCCUCUCCAGGCCCGCUGCUUCUGCCAGCUGGAUGUUGCGUCGUCCCUCGCUAUUCGCCCUCCUAUAAUCACUGCUUCCAUGUUGAAUCAAAACAAUUAUGCUUUCGUUCUCCCUUCUUCAAUUGCCCUAUCUUCACACCUGAACACUAUUGCUCCGGUAUCCUGCCAUUUUGGAUCAGGGCGGUUGACGGUGGAUUCACUUCCCAUCAGCCCUUGAGGCUGCAGGGACCAGCCCUUUGUACAGUGGAGAAGCCCAGGCGGCCUAGAAUCCAGUGUCGUCCGUGAGUGCUUGGCUGGUGUUCAAGUGCAUCUUCCAGCCUGAGACCGCGUGGACUCGCUCAUCGUGAGGGCGAGAGGAGGAUAAGCCCAUUGGGCUGUCGGCUGAGAGUGAGGUGCGGGAUUGCUGAUGAAAUCCUUGGCAUCGUCGGAGAUCUCAUCGAAUGCCUCGUCGUCGAAGUCCCAGGUGGCUGAGGUAACGUUGGCCAAGGUUUCGUUAUCGUUGUCUCCCAUGAAGGGGGAAAGGCCACUGACUCUGGAGAGACAAGAGCAGGACAGCAGGUGUGGCUAGGAGAGGGCGCGACGACCAGAUGAGGGAAUUGAGGCACAGCCCAGGCUCAAGUCACCUGCCCAAAGAUUCACAGCCAGUGAGAUUGGAAGCCAGGUAUCUGCCUCUAGAGCCUGUCCUCUUAAAUGCUAUACUAUCCUAACAUUUCUGUAAAGAUGAAGUAAAUUGCAGUGUUCAGCACUGGCACCAGGCCUGGUCCACAGUAAGGAGGCGGUCCAUGCCCGGAGAUCUCAUGCAGUUCUGCUGGGUUCCCUCCACUGCCUUACCAAGCUGUGAGUGCAGGAAUGACUUUGUGACCAGCAGCUUAAGCCAAAUAAACUUUAUAAGGUAAAGAAUUUCAAAACAAAAUAGAGCAGAUUUGUGGCUUACUGACCUUACCUCUCACCUCUGUGCACCUCACCUUCAUAGCAACAACUCACCCCACUGUUCAUGAGGGCCUUGUGAGUCAGCCUCAUGGGUGUUAGACCAGCACAGUUGCCCACAGUCCCACCCUUAGACAGGCCCUGUGCUUGGUUUAAUGCUCUGCUGCUGUCGUCUCAAGAUUCUCAAUAAGGUUUGAACAAGUGGCCCCACCUUUCAUGUUGCAAAUUGUGUAGCUGUUCCUGCCCUGAUCUCAGCUGAGCCCCAUGAGAUGGGUCUGGGGGCCAGGCGUGGUGGCUCAUGCCUGUAAUCCCAGCACUUUGGGAGGCCAAAAUGGAUGGAUCACCUGAGGUCAGGAGUUUGAGGCUAGCCUGGCCAACACGGUGAAGUCCUGUCUCUACUAAAAAUACAAAAAUUAGCUGGGCAUGGUGGCAAGCACCUGUAAUCCCAGCUACUCGGGAGGCUGAGGCAGGAGAAUUGCUUGAACCCUGGAGGUGGAGGUUGCAGUGAGCCAAUAUCGCACCAUUGCACUCCAACCUGGGCAACAAGCGAAACUCAAUCUCAAAAAAAAAAAAAAAAAGAGAGAUGGGUCUGGGGCCCUCCUGCCAUCAACCUGUCAAGUUAGGGCUUUACCAAUGUCCCUUCUCCCAAAUGCUUAUGAAUCCAUCAUCAUAAGCCAAGCACUGACAGCUU